UACGGAGGAUGCAAGCGUUAUCCGGAAUGAUUGGGCGUAAAGCGUCCGCAGGUGGCUAUGUAAGUCUGCUGUUAAAGAGUCUGGCUCAACCAGAUAAAGGCAGUGGAAACUACAUGGCUAGAGUGCGUUCGGGGCAGAGGGAAUUCCUGGUGUAGCGGUGAAAUGCGUAGAGAUCAGGAAGAACACCAGUGGCGAAGGCGCUCUGCUAGGCCGUAACUGACACUGAGGGACGAAAGCUAGGGGAGCGAAUGGG
rnacentral:rRNA from 1 species